UUCACAAACUGCCAUAUCUCCAUGUGGCCAGCAGGGGGAGGCCGAGGUUCCUGGCUGAGCCAGGGUUGUUGAGAGACUGUAUGUAGGUCAUGGAUCAGCCUCUAUCUUCAUGAAAGACUUGGGUUGAAAAAGGGCUGAAAAAGGGCUCAACCAGCCAGGGCUACUUGAAAGUGGUGAGCAUCAGGUGACUUGCAGCCCAAGUCUAGCUGGACUAUAAGGCAGAGACGACUUCAUAGUGCUUGGAACUUAUAGGAAGAGGAGUGAAAGGCUGGCUUAAGUCAGGCCUGAGGGAGGUGGGGCUGAAUUGGCAACUACUGGUGUCUAAUGGAAGUUGGAUAGAAGAUACUGGAAAGGUCUACUCCUGAUAGCACCCUCAUUCUUCUUCAAAGAAGACAAUUAACAUUGAAGAACCUCUUUAUGGAGUUUGCUUCAAACGUGACAAGUUAGCCACUGAACAAGAAACUGCCUUUGUUUCAACUGCUGACAGCAUGCUGUCCAAACUGGACCGACAAGAUGCAGGGAAGUUGGCUGCUGAGCCUUGCUGAGCCCUGCUUCCCAAGGCAGGAAGUCACAGAGAAAUCUCAAAAGCAAGUGUUACUGUCAUGCAUGGUUAAGAGUAAUAAUGGAUCACAAAUGAC